GCGCCGGUGGUGUAUUGGCGUAGAGCAUUCCCACCCUGUCAGAGGGAGAUGCGGGUUCGAGUCCCGCCUGGCGCU
rnacentral:tRNA from 1 species